GACGAACGCUGGCGGCGUGCUUAACACAUGCAAGUCGAACGGAAAGGCCCUGCUUUUGUGGGGUGCUCGAGUGGCGAACGGGUGAGUAACACGUGAGUAACCUGCCCUUGACUUUGGGAUAACUUCAGGAAACUGGGGCUAAUACCGGAUAGGAGCUCCUGCUGCAUGGUGGGGGUUGGAAAGUUUCGGCGGUUGGGGAUGGACUCGCGGCUUAUCCGCUUGUUGGUGGGGUAGUGGCUUACCAAGGGUUUGACGGGUAGCCGGCCUGAGAGGGUGACCGGGCACAUUGGGACUGAGAUAGGGACCAGACUCCAACGGGAGGCAGCGGUGGGGAGUAUUGCACAGUGGGCGGGAGCGUGAUGCAGCGGCGCCGGGUGCGGGAAGACGGCCUACGGGUUGUGAACCGCUUUCGCCUGUGACGAAGCGGGAGUGACGGUAAUGGGUAAAGAAGCAACGGCUAACUACGUG
rnacentral:rRNA from 1 species